ACAGACUACUUUGAACCUGAGCUCACACUGUUAGAAGGAGAUCUAAAAUAGAGGGUAUUCCAAGAAACUUCAGAUAGAGAUGAGGGAGAGGGCAAAAUCAUCUUUGAACUUGGAGAAACUCGGGAAGCACAUGCAAGGCUGAUAUUUUGGAAAUGUUCUGUCUAUGGAUUUAAGGCUAAAUUCUGGAAUUGUAUUGCCUAGGCAAUAGAAAUCCUCCCUCUACAAGGGAGGUUGUAGAAAUAGUCAGCAUUUAUACAGAACUCUAAGAUUUCCAAAGCACUUUAUAUAUGCAUUAUCAUUUGACAUUGACCUUGAACUCUUGACCUCACAGCUUGGACUCAAAGGAAGCCAGGGAAGCCAACUGACG